rnacentral:lncRNA from 1 species
ACACACACACAACAAAAAAAAAAGAGAGAGAGAAGGGAGAUUGGGUUUUACCUUGCCGCGGGAGGAACCGGAGCGGUUGCCGUCGAUCCGGCCGGGAGGAGCUCGCCGGAGGCAAGGUGAGCACCUUCUCCUUCUUCUCCUUCGUCUUUGGCUAUUAUUUCCUUGGGGAUGUGGCCGGGAAGCCGCCGGGCUGAUGGGGAAGCCGCCGGGCUGAUGGGGAAGCCGAGCCUCUGUUCGGCCUUCUCUCCUUCCGUUCCGGCCGGCCGUCGCCGGGUGUGGCACCACCAUUGGGCGUCGCCGGCCAUGGGCCGCCGGCUGCCAAGCAUUCUCCUCCUUUCCGUCGGGAAGGAGGAAGGAAGAGGGAGAGAGGGAGAGAACCAACUCUCUCUCUCUCUUCUUUGUUGUUUUAUUUACGGGAAGAAGAAGGAAGAGAGGGAGAGAGAGAGAGAGAGCCGACUCUCUCUCUUCUUUGUUAUUUUAUCUUCUCCCUCUAGAUAUUGUCUCUUAUUAGUAUGUUUUCUCUCUUAGUUUAAUUCGAGGGAGNNNNNNNNNNNNNNNNNNNNACUGUCUCUUAUUAGUAUGUUUUCUCUCUAGUUUAAUUCAGGGAGAUCAUGGAUUGUUGGAUAGUCUUGGAAUACUAGAUUUUAGAGGACCCUUUAGAGGAUUAAACAGGGGUCCUGGAUUAUCAUAUAUCUUGAGUAAAUUUUAAUGAUGAUUUGGUUCUGUAGGGGAACAAUCUGUUGGACGAGAGGACGUUGAGCGGGAUUCUGUGCAUUCCGGUUCUUUAUCGCCGUGAAGGCGGGUGAUUGGUUGUCUAAAUUUUCAACAAAG